rnacentral:rRNA from 1 species
GUUAAGGGGCCUAAACGAAUGCUCAUCUAGACCCCAUCGAAAGGCGUUGGUUGCUAUAGACAGCAGGACGGUGGCCAUGGAAGUUGGAAUCCGCUAAGGAGUGUGUAACAACUCACCUGCCGAAGCAACUAGCCCUUAAAAUGGUAUGGCGCUCAAGCAUUCUCCCGAUACUCGACCGCCGGUGGCACUAAAGGCCAAGCUCCCCUCUUCACCGGGGGGAGCCCAGGUCUCCAAGCCCCGGCGAGUAGGAGGGUCGCAGGGGUGAGCGCUGAAGGGAUCCGGCGCGAGCCGGCCUGGAGCCGCCCCUGGUGCAGAUCUUGGUGGUAGUAGCAAAUAGUCGAGAGAGACUUCCCUUGAAGGCCGAUGUGGAGAAGGGUUCCAUGUGAACAUCAGUUGGACAUGGGUUAGUCGCUCCUAAGCCCAAGGCUAAAGCCUUAUCCCACGCUAGAGGCAACGGCCAAGCGAGUUGUCGUCACUGUCGUGGCGGCUCAUCCGUGAGAGAUUCUUCUCAGUUGCCGAUGGGAAUUCGUGGCGAAAGGGAAUACGGUACUUAUUCCGUAACCAGGCCUGGAUGCCAACCGGGGCUAGGUUCCUUCUUGGGCCGGCCCUUGGUGCAGGAACCCGGUAACGGGAACCAACUCGCGUCCAUCGGCGGUGGUCCGGGGAAGAGUUUUCUUUUCUGUUUAAGGCGCCGUGACCCUAGAAGCCACUCGCAGAGCGAAAGGGUGUUGGUAACACGGUCUGCCGUAGAGCGCCGCGGUUCUUGCGGCGUCCCGAGUACCACUGCCGGUCCGUGAAACAUGCGAGGCAGGUAACUGCAUGGGGCGAAGCGGGGGGGUCUGCUGCUGCUGCCCGCUGCCGGGCGUCGUUCUGCGGCGUCACGGCGCGGCGCACGUACGCACGCGGCCUCCGCGAUGCACCCCAGUUUCGGGCCUGUGCGUACCCAUAUCCGCAGCCGGUCUCCAAGGUAAGAAGCCUCUGGUCGAUAGACUAAUGUAGGUAAGGGAAGUCGGCAAAUUAGAUCCGUAACUUCGGGAUAAGGAUUGGCUCUGAGGAUCGGGCCAGUCGGGCCUGUGCGGGAAGCGGGCCUGGGUUCGGGCGCUGGACUGGGCUCAGAGGCUCUGAGCUGCGCGCGGUGAUGGGUGAUGCCGUCUACCCUGCGGCGCCGACGUCGCCGGUGUCCGCCCAUCCGCUGUGUCUCGCCUUCCCCGGUGGCGGCGACCCAUUCCAAAUGCGGCCUCGCGUCGCGCUGUCCUUGUUCUAUCAGCUCGCCGGUGCGGCGGUGCUUGUGGUCCGGGUUCGCAAAGGCGGCCGGCGGACGAUCACCGCGUCGUUUGGGCCCUCAAAAGCCCCGGCGCGGCGUCCUCCGGUCGCUCCCGGUCCCACUCCGCCGUCCGCGCUAAAGCCGGCGCGGCGGGGCAGCGCGCGUUGGGGAAUCACCGCAGGGUUCGCGCAGCGCCGGUCUCGCAGGCGGGACACGCUCAUGCGAGGUGGGGCCAACGGCCCGGUGUGCGGCGGCUCGCAUUUCGUGGUGGCGGCUCUAGCCCUCUCGCCACUCGUGCCGAGAGCUCGGACCGGCGUGUCUCCGGCCCUUCCGUGGAACGCGCUAGGCUGCGUGGGCGCGGGGGCUCCGGCUCUCUCUAUCGCCGGCUUUCGGCCGGUUAGGUAGCAGCAGCAGUCGUCCCUCGCUCCAAACCCACUUCGGCUGGCGCCCAGCGAUCAACUCAGAACUGGCACGGACCAGGGGAAUCCGACUGUCUAAUUAAAACAAAGCAUUGCGAUGGUCAGAGAUAGAUGUUGACGCAAUGUGAUUUCUGCCCAGUGCUCUGAAUGUCAAAGUGAAGAGAUUCAACCAAGCGCGGGUAAACGGCGGGAGUAACUAUGACUCUCUUAAGGUAGCCAAAUGCCUCGUCAUCUAAUUAGUGACGCGCAUGAAUGGAUUAACGAGAUUCCCACUGUCCCUAUCUACUAUCUAGCGAACCCACAGGCAGGGGAACGGGCCUGCGCCUAACAGCGGGGAAAGAAGACCCUGUUGAGCUUGACUCUAGUCUGAUUUUGUAGAGAGACAUCAGAGGUGUAGCAUAAGUGGGAGGUCGUCACAUCAGGGGCUUGCUCCGUGCGGCCGACAAUGAAAUACCACUACUCUGAUCGUUUCUUUACUUACUCGGUGAGACGGAAUCGGAGCUUCCCCACGUGGGAUUGCCUCCUGUUUCUAGCCUAAAGCGGCGGAAGGGAGGGCGCGCUUGGUUUCGGCCUUGCGUUAGCCUGACCGGGCGUUCGCGCCCGCCGCGAUCCGCUCCGAGGACAUUAUCAGGUGGGGAGUUUGACUGGGGCGGUACAUCUGUCAAACGAUAACGCAGGUGUCCUAAGGCCAGCUCAGCGUGGACAGAAACCUCGCGUAGAGCAAAAGGGCAAAUGCUGGCUUGAUCCUGAUUUUCAGUACGAAUACGGACUGCGAAAGCAGGGCCUAUCGAUCCUUUUGACUUUAUGAGUUUUAAGCAAGAGGUGUCAGAAAAGUUACCACAGGGAUAACUGGCUUGUGGCGGCGUUCAUAGCGACGUCGCUUUUUGAUCCUUCGAUGUCGGCUCUUCCUAUCAUUGUGAAGCAGAAUUCACCAAGCGUUGGAUUGUUCACCCAUAAAAAGGGAACGUGAGCUGGGUUUAGACCGUCGCGAGACAGGUUAGUUUUACCCUACUGUUGGCAGUUGUGUCGUUGAUACAGCAGUCCUGCUCAGUACGAGAGGAACGGCAGGUCCGGACAUAUGGUUCCGCUCUUGGUCGAUCGGCCAGUGGAGCGAGGCUACGUCCGUGGGAUUAUGCCUGAAAGCCUCUAAGGCAGAAUCCCGGCUGGAUGACCAACGACCGCGUACGGCCUGCAUGGUCACCAUUGAAUUUUCGAGAGAUUCGCUCCCCGCUCGUUCGCGGGCGGGGCUAGAAGAUGGACCCGUGCAGAGGGAACUCGGGAGUGCCUCGACAAACAGGUUCAGGCUCUCCCCUCCCUAGUAGAGAACACCCAGAUGCUGAUGUGCCGUACCGAAUCGUUCGCAGACGACUUAC